rnacentral:rRNA from 1 species
UGGGGAAUUUUACGCAAUGGGCGAAAGCCUGACGUAGCGACACCGCGUGAGCGAAGAAGCCCCUUGGGGUGUAAAGCUCUGUCAGCUGGAACGAAGAAAAUGACGGUACCAGCAGAGGAAGCAUCGGCUAACUACGUGCCAGCAGCCGCGGUAAGACGUAGGAUGCAAGCGUUGUCCGGAUUUAUUGGGCGUAAAGAGUUCGUAGGUGGUUUGUUAAGUUUGGUGUUAAAGAUUGGGGCUCAACCCUGAAACUGCACUGAAUACUGGCAGACUCGAGUGUGGUAGAGGCUAGUGGAAUUCCCAGUGUAGCGGUGAAAUGCGUAGAUAUUGGGAAGAACACCGGUGGCGUAGGCGACUAGCUGGGCCAUAACUGACACUGAGGAACGAAAGCCAGGGGAGCGAAUGGGAUUAGAUACCCCAGUAGUCCUGGCCGUAAACGAUGGAUACUAGGCGUAUCGGGUAUCGACCCCUGAUGUGCCGCAGCUAACGCGAUAAGUAUCCCGCCUGAGUAGUACGGCCGCAAGGUUG